rnacentral:rRNA from 1 species
UUAAGUUAUUAAGGGCGCACGGUGGAUGCCUUGGCACUAGAAGCCGAUGAAGGACGUUACUAACGACGAUAUGCUUUGGGGAGCUGUAAGUAAGCUUUGAUCCAGAGAUCUCCGAAUGGGGAAACCCAGCAUGAGUUAUGUCAUGUUAUCGAUAUGUGAAUACAUAGCAUAUCAGAAGGCACACCCGGAGAACUGAAACAUCUUAGUACCCGGAGGAAGAGAAAGAAAAUUCGAUUCCCUUAGUAGCGGCGAGCGAAACGGGAAGAGCCCAAACCAACAAGCUUGCUUGUUGGGGUUGUAGGACACUCUAUACGGAGUUACAAAGGACGACAUUAGACGAAUCAUCUGGAAAGAUGAAUCAAAGAAGGUAAUAAUCCUGUAGUCGAAAAUGUUGUCUCUCUUGAGUGGAUCCUGAGUACGACGGAGCACGUGAAAUUCCGUCGGAAUCUGGGAGGACCAUCUCCUAAGGCUAAAUACUCUCUAGUGACCGAUAGUGAACCAGUACCGUGAGGGAAAGGUGAAAAGCACCCCGGAAGGGGAGUGAAAUAGAACCUGAAACCGUGUGCUUACAAGUAGUCAGAGCCCGUUAAUGGGUGAUGGCGUGCCUUUUGUAGAAUGAACCGGCGAGUUACGAUUUGAUGCAAGGUUAAGCAGUAAAUGUGGAGCCGUAGCGAAAGCGAGUCUGAAUAGGGCGUUUAGUAUUUGGUCGUAGACCCGAAACCAGGUGAUCUACCCUUGGUCAGGUUGAAGUUCAGGUAACACUGAAUGGAGGACCGAACCGACUUACGUUGAAAAGUGAGCGGAUGAACUGAGGGUAGCGGAGAAAUUCCAAUCGAACCUGGAGAUAGCUGGUUCUCUCCGAAAUAGCUUUAGGGCUAGCCUCAAGUGAUGAUUAUUGGAGGUAGAGCACUGUUUGGACGAGGGGCCCCUCUCGGGUUACCGAAUUCAGACAAACUCCGAAUGCCAAUUAAUUUAACUUGGGAGUCAGAACAUGGGUGAUAAGGUCCGUGUUCGAAAGGGAAACAGCCCAGACCACCAGCUAAGGUCCCAAAAUAUAUGUUAAGUGGAAAAGGAUGUGGCGUUGCCCAGACAACUAGGAUGUUGGCUUAGAAGCAGCCAUCAUUUAAAGAGUGCGUAAUAGCUCACUAGUCGAGUGACACUGCGCCGAAAAUGUACCGGGGCUAAACAUAUUACCGAAGCUGUGGAUUGUCCUUUGGACAAUGGUAGGAGAGCGUUCUAAGGGCGUUGAAGCAUGAUCGUAAGGACAUGUGGAGCGCUUAGAAGUGAGAAUGCCGGUGUGAGUAGCGAAAGACGGGUGAGAAUCCCGUCCACCGAUUGACUAAGGUUUCCAGAGGAAGGCUCGUCCGCUCUGGGUUAGUCGGGUCCUAAGCUGAGGCCGACAGGCGUAGGCGAUGGAUAACAGGUUGAUAUUCCUGUACCACCUAUAAUCGUUUUAAUCGAUGGGGGGACGCAGUAGGAUAGGCGAAGCGUGCGAUUGGAUUGCACGUCUAAGCAGUAAGGCUGAGUAUUAGGCAAAUCCGGUACUCGUUAAGGCUGAGCUGUGAUGGGGAGAAGACAUUGUGUCUUCGAGUCGUUGAUUUCACACUGCCGAGAAAAGCCUCUAGAUAGAAAAUAGGUGCCCGUACCGCAAACCGACACAGGUAGUCAAGAUGAGAAUUCUAAGGUGAGCGAGCGAACUCUCGUUAAGGAACUCGGCAAAAUGACCCCGUAACUUCGGGAGAAGGGGUGCUCUUUAGGGUUAACGCCCAGAAGAGCCGCAGUGAAUAGGCCCAAGCGACUGUUUAUCAAAAACACAGGUCUCUGCUAAACCGUAAGGUGAUGUAUAGGGGCUGACGCCUGCCCGGUGCUGGAAGGUUAAGAGGAGUGGUUAGCUUCUGCGAAGCUACGAAUCGAAGCCCCAGUAAACGGCGGCCGUAACUAUAACGGUCCUAAGGUAGCGAAAUUCCUUGUCGGGUAAGUUCCGACCCGCACGAAAGGCGUAACGAUUUGGGCACUGUCUCAACGAGAGACUCGGUGAAAUCAUAGUACCUGUGAAGAUGCAGGUUACCCGCGACAGGACGGAAAGACCCCGUGGAGCUUUACUGUAGCCUGAUAUUGAAAUUCGGCACAGCUUGUACAGGAUAGGUAGGAGCCUUUGAAACGUGAGCGCUAGCUUACGUGGAGGCGCUGGUGGGAUACUACCCUAGCUGUGUUGGCUUUCUAACCCGCACCACUUAUCGUGGUGGGAGACAGUGUCAGGCGGGCAGUUUGACUGGGGCGGUCGCCUCCUAAAAGGUAACGGAGGCGCUCAAAGGUUCCCUCAGAAUGGUUGGAAAUCAUUCAUAGAGUGUAAAGGCAUAAGGGAGCUUGACUGCGAGACCUACAAGUCGAGCAGGGUCGAAAGACGGACUUAGUGAUCCGGUGGUUCCGCAUGGAAGGGCCAUCGCUCAACGGAUAAAAGCUACCCCGGGGAUAACAGGCUUAUCUCCCCCAAGAGUUCACAUCGACGGGGAGGUUUGGCACCUCGAUGUCGGCUCAUCGCAUCCUGGGGCUGUAGUCGGUCCCAAGGGUUGGGCUGUUCGCCCAUUAAAGCGGUACGCGAGCUGGGUUCAGAACGUCGUGAGACAGUUCGGUCCCUAUCCGUCGUGGGCGUAGGAAAUUUGAGAGGAGCUGUCCUUAGUACGAGAGGACCGGGAUGGACAUACCUCUGGUGUACCAGUUGUCGUGCCAACGGUAUAGCUGGGUAGCUAUGUGUGGACGGGAUAAGUGCUGAAAGCAUCUAAGCAUGAAGCCCCCCUCAAGAUGAGAUUUCCCAACUUCGGUUAUAAGAUCCCUCAAAGAUGAUGAGGUUAAUAGGUUCGAGGUGGAAGCAUGGUGACAUGUGGAGCUGACGAAUACUAAUCGAUCGAAGACUUAAUCAA